CGGGGCGCCCCCGCUCCCGCCGACGUCCCGCCGAGGCCGCCCCCCGCGGGUCCCCGUCCCGGGGCUGCGCCCAGAAGAGCCGGGAGACGCGCCGACCCCGAGUUGCGGCACCAGCCCGGCCUGAGCUGCACAGACCUGGGAAUCCGGCCCUUCCCAGCCGGUUACUACAGCCGAUGGGACCUCGUGCGCCGCAGAGAAGCACAGACCCCAGAGGCCGGCGGCAAAUUACCGUCCUGCUCCCAGCUGUAUGACCCAGAUCUCCCGCAUGCGGCCCGCCUUUGCAUCAGCUUAGUUUUAAUGUAUGCUCCCAGAAAGGAAGGAAGAGAAACCAGUUGAAUGUGGUUUCUAACUCACCUGGUUCCUGGUGCCUGGAGCCAACACUCCACCUAUAGUCUUUGCUCAAGAAAUAUUUGUGGACAAGUGCCAAGUGACUGUUAACAUGGUAAGGACUGCUCCAGGGACAGUGUUAUCAUUUGGUCUCAUCUGGGAAGGCAAGCUGGAGCUGGGAAGAAUGAGGUGGGGAUGGGAGAAGCUAUAGGAGAAAGCCCAGAGGUGGGAUUGAGCUUGGUGUGUUUGAGAAGCUAGGAUCAGCGUCUUUCAGCUGGAAGGGAGUCAUUCAGGGGACUAGUGGAGAAACAAACUAUUAUAGAACCAAGAAGUGGGUGAAGCCAGGUUAUGAAAGCCUGCCCGAUUCCCUGCAUCCACUUCUAUCUUUAUCACUUUUUAAAAUUGAACAUUUUUAUUGAGAUAAUUGUAGGUUCACAUGCAGGUGUAGGAAAUAACACAGAGAGGUCCCUUGUAUGCUUUGUCCCGUUUGCCCCAAGGGUAGCAUUUUGCAAGACUACUGUGUAAUAUCACACUCAGUAUAUCAACAUGUAUACAUUGAUUCAUGUCUCAAACACCUUGGGUAAUUAUUUGCUAUUUCAAAUUUUUAGUAAAGUUACUCUAAAAUUUUGAAAGAAAUGAACAAAUAUUAUUUUUAUAAAUUUAUUUAUUUUAUUUAUUUAUUUUUGGCUGCAUUGGGUCUUUGUUGCUGCGCUCAGGCUUUCUCUAGCUAUGGAGAGCGGGGGCUACUCUUCGUUGCCUUGCACGGCCUUCUCGUUGCAGCGGCUUCUCUUGUUGUGGAGCACGGGCUCUAGGGCACAUGGGCUUCAGUAGUUGUAGCACGUGGACUCAGUUGCUCUGCGACAUGUGGGAUCUUCCCGGACCAGGGCUCGAACCCAUGUUCCCUGCAUGGGCAGGUGGAUUCUUAACCACUGCGCCACCAGGGAAGCCCAGAAAUGAACAAAGAUUAUGUUAAAGGGUUUUGGUCUCUUGUUUUAUUGGAAACAACUUUUUUUUAAAGGGGAAGAAUGUUUUAUUUUCCCAGUUAGAGCAUAAUGAGGGUCCAGAUUCUUCAUCUGUAAAAGACAGUCAGAAAUCUUUGGGACUUACCUCUGACUGUUCACUUCCCUGCCCUACCCAGUACUGUUGAAGGAACAUUUUGAGCAAUACUGUACAUGACUUGUCAGUUCUGAAAUGAGACAGGAUGCAGUGUUAACUAAUAUGCUAAACUAUGCCUAACCACUAAUGGGCCUUUCUCUCUCCUUGGACAUUGGAUGGGACUGCCACUGAGUGUCUCCCAGAGGGAAGUGAUUCAAGACAAAGACCCAUUCUGCCAGUGGGCUAUGCUGGGAAUACCAACUAUGCUUGUUACAGAAUGUGCACGGCGACUGCUGACCGGCCUUCCCGAUGCCAGCAAGAGGGUACAGAAGCAAUCUCCCAAGCUUUCCACGACAUUCAAGUGACCAGGCACUUUGACCCCCAUCAUUAGGGGCUGCCCCAAAGAAGCUGUGUUCCUACCUCACUUGGUGCCCCUAAGCGGCAGUUCAGACACCAGAGGGUGUGUGACCCUUGUUGAAAUGGAUUUGUCAUAGGUGUGUGCUUUCAAUUGGCGUUUCCCUCCUGUCUUGUUUGAGAAAUCCAAAUCGUUUAAUGCUCCUACCUGCUUCUUUUUGUACAGCUUCACAUUCACAGCAGAAUUUCAUUUUGUCCCUCAAUUGUGUGGCUUGCCUUAAUCCUCUGAUAGAGCUUCAAAUGGUUUAUUCCUUAAUUUUUUUUUUUUUUAAGUGACCUGGAGUUUAGCCAGCUCCAGCCAGUCUCUGAGUUUGGCUUUGUGUCCAUAAGCCGCAGUUGGGAGAAACGCAAGAAAUGCCCAAACAGAAUAAAACAAAUGAUCUAUUUAGUCUCAUUUCCUCUCUUGGAAGAGGUCCAGCUUUGAGUGCUUUGGAAGAAGAUGAAAAUCCCCCCACCCCACCCCCACUGCUCCCUCAUACACCCAAACAGUAUGACCUUGUAUUUAAGUAAAAGCUAUCCUUAGCUCCCAAUGGGUGAUGGUGUUUUGUCUGGAAGAGCUACUGAUGUUUCUAUAAUAAGAUAAUAAUAGUUGCUCCUCUCCUA